UCAUGUUAGCUCCAAAAGAAAGAGCUUAUGCCUUCUUUUGCAAGAGGAGUCUUUUGUAUUGCAUCAUUCCUGACUGAAAAGAUCCAGAUCCUGGAUCCCUCCGUUUCUUGUCCUCAGAGCUAGCUGGUAUAGGAUCGGGUCAGCUGGCAGAGAAUCAACAAUGGAUCAUGCAGAUGGGAGAAGUAGGCGGAAUCCCGCGAGGGCCUUAGGGAUUAAAUAUGGUUAUUUUAUGGUUAUUUUCCAUGGUUGUUAACACAAAUUCGAAAAUAUAAGGAAGACGAUUUUUCCGACUCAAA